rnacentral:rRNA from 1 species
AGGGUUCGAUUCUGGCUCAGGAUGAACGCUAGCUACAGGCUUAACACAUGCAAGUCGAGGGGUAGCAGGGUAGCAAUACCGCUGACGACCGGCGCACGGGUGAGUAACACGUAUCCAACCUCCCAUAACUCAGGGAUAGCCUUUCGAAAGAAAGAUUAAUACCUGAUAGUACUUUUUCAAGGCAUCUUGAGAAAGUUAAAGAUUUAUUGGUUAUGGAUGGGGAUGCGUUCCAUUAGAUAGUUGGUGAGGUAACGGCUCACCAAGUCUUCGAUGGAUAGGGGUUCUGAGAGGAAGGUCCCCCACAUUGGUACUGAGACACGGACCAAACUCCUACGGGAGGCAGCAGUGAGGAAUAUUGGUCAAUGGGCGAGAGCCUGAACCAGCCAAGUAGCGCGAAGGAUGAAGGUCCUAUGGAUUGUAAACUUCUUUUAUAGUAGAAUAAAGUGAUCCACGUGUGGAUUUUUGUAUGUAUACUAUGAAUAAGGAUCGGCUAACUCCGUGCCAGCCGCUGC